rnacentral:rRNA from 1 species
CUNACNCNUGCAGUCGAACGAUGACGGUGGUGCUUGCACCNGCCUGAUUAGUGGCGAACGGGUGAGUAACACGUGAGUAACCUGCCCUCCACUUCGGGAUAACCUCGGGAAAUCGUGGCUAAUACCGGAUAUGAGCACUCAUCGCAUGGUGGGUGCUGGAAAGAUUUAUCGGUGGGGGAUGGACUCGCGGCCUAUCAGUUUGUUGGUGAGGUGAUGGCUCACCAAGACGAUGACGGGUAGCCGGCCUGAGAGGGCGACCGGCCACACUGGGACUGAGACACGGCCCAGACUCCUACGGGAGGCAGCAGUGGGGAAUAUUGCACAAUGGGCGAAAGCCUGAUGCAGCGACGCCGCGUGGGGGAUGACGGCCUUCGGGUUGUAAACCCCUUUCAGUAGGGAAGAAGCGAGAGUGACGGUACCUGCAGAAGAAGCGCCGGCUAACUACGUGCCAGCAGCCGCGGUAAUACGUAGGGCGCAAGCGUUGUCCGGAAUUAUUGGGCGUAAAGAGCUUGUAGGUGGCUUGUCGCGUCUGCCGUGAAAACCCGAGGCUCAACCUCGGGCGUGCGGUGGGUACGGGCAGGCUAGAGUGUGGUAGGGGAGACUGGAACUCCUGGUGUAGCGGUGAAAUGCGCAGAUAUCAGGAAGAACACCGAUGGCGAAGGCAGGUCUCUGGGCCAUUACUGACACUGAGAAGCGAAAGCAUGGGUAGCGAACAGGAUUAGAUACCCUGGUAGUCCAUGCCGUAAACGUUGGGCACUAGGUGUGGGGGACAUUCCACGUUUUCCGCGCCGUAGCUAACGCAUUAAGUGCCCCGCCUGGGGAGUACGGCCGCAAGGCUAAGACUCAAAGGAAUUGACGGGGGCCCGCACAAGCGGCGGAGCAUGCUGAUUAAUUCGAUGCAACGCGAAGAACCUUACCAAGGCUUGACAUGCACUGGACGGCUGCAGAGAUGUGGCUUUCUUCGGACUGGUGCACAGGUGGUGCAUGGUUGUCGUCAGCUCGUGUCNNGAGAUGUUGGGUUAAGUUC